rnacentral:rRNA from 1 species
AUUGAACGCUGGCGGCGGGCUUAACACAUGCAAGUCGAGCGGAGAUGAGGUGCUUGCACCUUAUCUUAGCGGCGGACGGGUGAGUAAUGCUUAGGAAUCUGCCUAUUAGUGGGGGACAACAUUCCGAAAGGAAUGCUAAUACCGCAUACGUCCUACGAGAGAAAGCAGGGGAUCUUCGGACCUUGCGCUAAUAGAUGAGCCUAAGUCGGAUUAGCUAGUUGGUGGGGUAAAGGCCUACCAAGGCGACGAUCUGUAGCGGGUCUGAGAGGAUGAUCCGCCACACUGGGACUGAGACACGGCCCAGGCUCCUACGGGAGGCAGCAGUGGGGAAUAUUGGACAAUGGGGGGAACCCUGAUCCAGCCAUGCCGCGUGUGUGAAGAAGGCCUUAUGGUUGUAAAGCACUUUAAGCGAGGAGGAGGCUACUGAGACUAAUACUCUUGGAUAGUGGACGUUACUCGCAGAAUAAGCACCGGCUAACUCUGUGCCAGCCGCCGCCGCAGUAA